GAUGAACGCUGGCGGCGUGCCUAAUACAUGCAAGUCGAGCGAAUGGACGAGGAGCUUGCUUCUCUGAUGUUAGCGGCGGACGGGUGAGUAACACGUGGAUAACCUACCUAUAAGACUGGGAUAACUUCGGGAAACCGGAGCUAAUACCGGAUAAUAUUUUGAACCGCAUGGUUCAAAAGUGAAAGGCGGUCUUGCUGUCACUUAUAGAUGGAUCCGCGCUGCAUUAGCUAGUUGGUAAGGUAACGGCUUACCAAGGCAACGAUGCGUAGCCGACCUGAGAGGGUGAUCGGCCACACUGGAACUGAGACACGGUCCAGACUCCUACGGGAGGCAGCAGUAGGGAAUCUUGCGCAAUGGGCGAAAGCCUGACGGAGCAACGCCGCGUGAGUGAUGAAGGUCUUCGGAUCGUAAAACUCUGUUAUUAGGGAAGAACAUAUGUGUAAUUAACUGUGCACAUCUUGACGGUACCUAAUCAGAAAGCCACGGCUAACUACGUG
rnacentral:rRNA from 1 species